CGUGGGUAACCUGCCCAAGAGAUCGGGAUAACACCUGGAAACAGAUGCUAAUACCGGAUAACAACAGAUGAUGCCUAUCAACUGUUUAAAAGAUGGUUCUGCUAUCACUCUUGGAUGGACCUGCGGUGCAUUAGCUAGUUGGUAGGGUAACGGCCUACCAAGGCGAUGAUGCAUAGCCGAGUUGAGAGACUGAUCGGCCGCAUUGGGGCUGAGACACGGCCCAAACUCCUACGGGAGGCAGCAGUU
rnacentral:rRNA from 1 species